AAUUCAGAGACCCAACUUAAAACCGAAGUCAUCGUCUUUGGCUCGGUCUCUCCGACAGCCACACCCAUGGUUUGGCCCUUCUUACCAACAAUUUCUCUCAAGGCCUCAAAUCUCAAACAGCACAGGCCAAAGCUCCAGCUCUGUCACUGUUUCACUUUCUUCCACGACAAAAUGCCCAAAGAACUAGUCUCAUUAGUUAAGAAAUGAAAUUCCAGGGUCUGGCUUUAUAAAGAAACUGUCAAAUUACAUAGAAAAGUUGGUAUGUGUCUUAUAGUCCUGACCUUCCUCCAAUGAUGGCAACAGCUUGAAGGGCCAUUGAUAGGAUGUUGAUGGGAAACUAAAAUCUGAUGGGAGUUCUACUUCGAUGCCGAUUACGCUCUUGAUGCAUUUCUUGUACCUGUUGAAUACAAUUCUUAUUAUUGGAGAGUUUUCUUCCAUUUAAGCAGUAUUCCUCCACUCUUUGAAUUGCUGGAUAGAGAUGAAUAUAGUAAGAAUUGAUACUUCUUUCAUUCAAAUUGCUGUUCUUUGAAUGCUUUGUAGUGAAUUGUAGAAGAGAAAUUGAAGAAUAAAAGGUAGAAAAUUCUUCUUCUUAAUUAAUUUUUUGUACAUAGACUCGUACAUAUAUAUAUAUAUAUACAAAAAUCCUAGGACCCAAAUUCAGGACUUUCCUAACUCAAUUACAAUAAAAUCCUUUUGAUCACGAGAUUGCCUAAUUCUCUCUUCAGAAUCACAACUUUCUUUAUUUCAUUCUUCCACACUCCCCCUCAAGUUGGUGGAUAGAUGUUUUUCAUUCCCAGCUUGGAUAUGUUUGCUUGAAACUUUGUACUGCUUAAACCUUUUAUGAGUGUAUGUGCAAGUUGGUGGUCAGUAGAUAUAUAAGGGGUAUAGAUCAAUCCACUAUCUAGUUUCUCUUUGAUAAAAUGUCUAUCAAUUUCUUUGUGUUUUGUUCGAUCGUGUUGCACUGGAUUAUGUGUAAUAUUGAUUGUAGAUUUAUUGUCAUAGUAAAGUAUCUUUGGCCCAUCCCAUUUGAUCUUCAAAUUUUCCAAAAUAAUCUUUAACCAUAGUAGUUCAUAAACUUCUUGGGCCAUUGCUCGGAAUUCUUCUUCUGCACUGAACCUUGCUACCAAACUUUGUUUCUUGCUUCUCCAUAUCACCAGAUUCCCGCCAAGAUAGGUGCAAUAUCCUGUAGUUGAUUUUCUAUCAACCACAGAUCCAACAUAAUCUGCAUCUGUGUAUGCUUUAAGUGCUAGUCUUGAACUUUAUUUAAAUAGGAUGCCCUUUCUUGGAAACCCCUUAAGGUAUUGUAGUACUCGAUUAUCAGCUUGUAGAUGGACCUUUUUUGGACUGUGCAUGAACCGACUAAUCACACUCACAACAUAUGCUAUAUCUAGUCUUGUGUGAGAGAGAUAAAUGAGUCUUCCUACUAGAUGUUGAUUUACCAUAGUGUCUUUCUCAGCCUCUCCGAGCUUAUGAUUAAGAUCUAUUGGUGUGCUUGUUGGUUUAUACGCCAACUUUCUUGUUUCUUUGAGAAAGUCUAUUGCGUAUUUCUAUUGAGAAAUAAAAAUUCUUUGCUUAGAGUGUGUAAUCUCAAUUCCUAGGAAGUAUUUCAACCUUCCUAACUCUUUGAUUUCAAAUUCCUUGGUCAAACAUUGUCUCAAAGUCUGCUUCUCUAGUUCAUCAUUUCCUGUCAUGAUGAUGUUGUCUACAUAUACCAAAAGAGUUGUAAGUUCCCUUGAAUCUGAAUGCUUGACGAAUAAUGUAUGAUCUCCUUGACUUUGUUUGUAUCCUAUGUUUUUCAUUACAUUUGCAAAUCUUCCAAACCAUACCCUUAGAGAUUAUUUUAGCAUGUAUAGAGAUUUCUUCAGUUUACACACCUUUUUAGUGGCUA